rnacentral:rRNA from 1 species
UACGUAGGGGGCUAGCGUUGUCCGGAAUCAUUGGGCGUAAAGCGCGUGUAGGCGGUCCGGUAAGUCCGCUGUGAAAGUCGGGGGCUCAACCCUCGAAUGCCGGUGGAUACUGUCGGGCUAGAGUGCGGAAGAGGCGAGUGGAAUUCCUGGUGUAGCGGUGAAAUGCGCAGAUAUCAGGAAGAACACCCGUGGCGAAAGCGGCUCUCUGGAACGGUACUGACGCUGAGACGCGAAAGCGUGGGGAGCGAACAGG